AAACUUUCAACAACGGAUCUCUUGGUUCUGGCAUCGAUGAAGACGCAGCGAAAUGCGAUAAGUAAUGUGAAUUGCAGAUUUCAGUGAAUCAUCGAUCUUUGACGCACAUUGCGCCCCUGGUAUUCCGGGGGCAUGCCUGUUCGAGCGUCAUU
rnacentral:rRNA from 1 species